rnacentral:snoRNA from 1 species
AAGCUGUGAUGUGGGCACUUUCUUAAUAAGUCUUUGAAUCUCUCCCAAGCUUCGCACAAACUCUCUUGAUCAUGGUGGAUAAAAGUCAUUAUCUCAUUGCACAGUUU